ensembl:lncRNA LNROP long non-coding regulator of POU2F2
GAGGAUGGGCCUGCCUGAGAGAGGAUAGAGGGGCAGAGUUUGGAACACACUGGCAGCUGGAACAGGGAGGCUCAAGGCAGGGGGAGAUGGUGGCCUCGUUGCCACAGAAGAGGCCUCGAGCCAUGCUGAGGGAGGCAGCUUGAUCUCUCUGUACUGAGCCAUGGAGCUCCUUCUUGGAGGCGUGAAAUGCUCCCCAUCCUUCAGGAGACAACAGCAACAGCCAGCCACUCCUUGUCCAGUCAGCAAUGCUGGAAUACCUCUGCAGCUCACAGUCCAACGCCCACAGCCUUCGAGUCAGUUUCUUGAUAUUCGGCAAUGCACUGGACUCCUGAUCCCAUCAGCUCCUGGCUGAAGGUGGGCCAACCCUUCCCCAUUUCCUUCAAUUCAAACAUUUCCUCAUGUCCCUCAGUGCCAAGCCCUGUGCUGGGAGCUGAGGACCCAGAGGUGAGCUAGAUCUAAAAUCUGACCUCAAGGAGCUAACAGUCUGAGAGGAAGACUGGAGUGGAUAAAAAUACCUUGGUAAUUUAUCACUUAAUAAAUAUCCAAUAAAUGCU